CCUACGGGAGGCAGCAGUGAGGAAUAUUGGUCAAUGGACGAGAGUCUGAACCAGCCAAGUAGCGUGAAGGAUGACUGCCCUAUGGGUUGUAAACUUCUUUUAUAUGGGAAUAAAACGUUCCACGUGUGGGAUUUUGUAUGUACCAUAUGAAUAAGGAUCGGCUAACUCCGUGCCAGCAGCCGCGGUAAUACGGAGGAUCCGAGCGUUAUCCGGAUUUAUUGGGUUUAAAGGGAGCGUAGGUGGAUUGUUAAGUCAGUUGUGAAAGUUUGCGGCUCAACCGUAAAAGUGCAGUUGAAACUGGCAGUCUUGAGUACAGUAGAGGUGGGCGGAAUUCGUGGUGUAGCGGUGAAAUGCUUAGAUAUCACGAAGAACUCCGAUUGUGAAGGCAGUUCACUGGACUGCAACUGACACUGAGGCUCGAAAGUGUGGGUAUCAAACAGGAUUAGAUACCCUGGUAGUC
rnacentral:rRNA from 1 species